AAAAAGACAAACUCUGACUUUCCAUGUCAACUUUGAUUGUCCAUCUUAUAUAAAUUUUUUUAUAAUUUGUAUUUUUAUUGUUGUUAGAUGAUAAAGCAUGAUUAAUAUUUUAUGUAUGACUUGUCUUUUUAUUUUUUUUCAUAAUUUUUUCAAAUAAGACGGACGGUUAAUAGUUGGGCACGAAAACCAAG
rfam:Oryza sativa Japonica Group DNA, chromosome 2, cultivar: Nipponbare, complete sequence.